UGGACGCGGCACUCAUUCCUCUUCCUGGGGAUCCUGAGCGAAAGCAAAGGCCCGGGGAGCCUGCGCCUGCUCAUCCUCCAGAAAGACCCCGGAAAGGCAAAGAUCGCACGGUGGAAUCUAAAUCCCUUCCUGUGUGAAAGUUGAGAUAACGCCUCCGACAAAGCAAAUACCCCGACAAUUUUGGAGCAGACCCCCCUCAGAGGCACUUGCCUCCCGGGAGUGAGGUGGGCGCUGACUCUACCACUAGCCAAGAAUAACUGCAAAUCUGGAGGGUGUCCCCUUGCUCCUUGACUACAAGGGAUCCAGGAGCUGUAAGGAACAGGUAUGGAGCAGUAACUGCCACUGCCACUGAGUCCCUUGGAGUAGUCAGGCUCUAUGGGAAGGCUUGGAUGGCAAGGAGUCAAGAGAGGCCUCUAGCCAGCAGCAUAUGAGGAAUGGAGUUGUCCUGACAACAACCCCACAAGCAAAUAUGGGAAAAAGAUUCACUCUGAUCAUCUUCAAAUGAGACUGCAUCUCCAGCUAACACUUGAGGAUUGCCGAAGUAGAAGACUCAGCUAAGCUGUGUCUGGAUUCCUGACAAUGUAUAUUGUAAGCUGCUGAGGGCUGCCAUGGAACUAUGAUCUUCCAGACCUAAGCCUCCCACAUAGCUGGGAUGACAGCAUGCACCACUGUACCAAGGCUUUCAAGAACUGUUUAUGCUUGAGCUCAUCUUGAAGCAAGAUCCUUCUGAUUCCUGCCUCCUGAGUAGUUAGGAUUAUAGGUAUGAGGCACUGUGCCUGGCUAGAAUAUUACCUCUGACAAGUAUAAAGGGGAAAAGGGAAUAUUUACAUAGAUUAAAAUGGAAAAAUUACUAAAAAGAUGAAAACUAUUGAAAUUGACUCAAGGAGAAAUAGGAACAUGGAUAGAGGUAUAACAAAUGGAAAGACUGAAUUACUGCAGGUUCAUCAUCCCUAACCCAAAAACCUAAAACACUCCAAAAUCUCCAAUUUUUUUAAAUACCAUCUGGAUGCCACAAGUGGAAAAUUACAUACUAUCAAACUUCAUUGCACAUACAAAACAUUUAAAAUAUUUUGUACAAUUUACUUUGGGUCAUGUAUAUAAAGUAUACAUAAAACAUAAAUAUAAUUUAUGCUUAGAGGUGGAUCCCAUCCCCAGAUAUCUCACUAUGUAUAUACAAAUAUUACAAAGUCCAUAAAGGUUGAUAUCCAAGACAGUUCAUUCUGGUCUUGAAUAUUUCAAAUAAUGAACACUUAAUACUUUUAAAAACAUGCGCACAAAUAAAACCUCAGACCCAAUCAUGUUCUACUGAGUCCUAAUAAAAUAUUUAAAGAAUUAACACAUUCUUUACAAACUUUCUCUAAAAUGAUAGAGGAUAGACCGUCUCCCAAGUUAUUCUCUCAGGCCAGUUAUUAACCUGGUACCAAAACCAGACAAAAGAUCAGAAGGAAACUACAAAUUAAUGUGACUUACAAAUAUGGAUGCAAAAAUGAAAAACAAUAUCUAAAAUAUCCCCUGAAAAGUGGGGUAGGUCUCUGGGAUAUAGAUUUAAAAAUCAAUGCAAUAUACCACAGCAAUCGAAUUUUAAAAAUCACAUGAUCAUCUCAACAGAUGCAUAAAAAGCACUUCACAAAAUCUAACAUCCUUUCAUGAUUUAAAAAAAAAUACUCAGCCGGGCAUCAGUGGCUCACACCUGUAAUCCUAG